AUUAUUUGGGGGCAAACAUGAGUAAACAUGAAAUAGGCUUACAUUAACUGGCCUGACAUUGGAAUGAAUAAAGGGUUAUGCUCAAGCAAACUAAUUGUCUGGAUAUCUUUGGUAUUGCAGCAACAAUGAGAUGGUAUUGAUGCGCCAUUGUACUAGGUAACUAGGAAGAAUGGGUUAAUUUUUGAAAAAUGUAUCGGGAGUUGAAAGAAUGUCCCUAAUCAGAACCUACCCAUAUAUCGAAGGAGAUUCAUUUACAUCUCACCUGUCGCAGACCAUGUCAGUGUAGUAAUGAAAACUGUCCACAUGGUGGGACACCAUACUGUACCUACCAACUUGUAGCUAGCAGGCAGCCAGCCAACUACAGUAUCAAAACAAAUCCCUCACCUCUACUACCAAGUUGGAGUGAGCCAGGUGGCAAGGGUGUGCGGAGAGAAAAGCACCUACUCCUUACUCCAGUGUGAUAUGACAUCACUGAGUGGUUACCACAGAAACCAGGGCUCCACUGCAGAAGGUUGACAGCCAGUCAAGUGUUUUUCCACAGGGAUGGCUGCACAAGUGGAGGUGCAGACUGGGGAAGUGGAAAGGAUUGGUGUAGGGGGACGACUGCAUCUCAGCCCUCUGUCUGACUCCAGCAACAAGAGCCUCACGGAGGGUCCCUCCAACACCCAGGCCUCCCUCAUCAUCACUCCAGAGCCUAGUAAGCCUGUCCCUACACCCAAACCACGGCUCACUCCCAAACCUUUCGCUGUGGAGAAAAACUCCACCAUCCGGCCCAUACUUGCGCCUAAGCCGAAUACCAACCCCCGACCAGUGCCCACUCGCCCUACUUCUUACAAACCUGACUUACCCAGCACCCCAAAACUUCAGCAGCCGAAUGUCACCAGCAAACACAGGCCAGGGCCGACCAACCCCAGCUGUCCUGCUCCUAACUCCUACAAACCCUCUCAUAAGUUGAGCAUGGGACAAACCACGAAGCCUGUAGCCCAGCCCUUCAAACCUGCCCCUCUUCUAACCCCUGGGGACCCCAGCAAACCAACUCCCUCCCAACCGGUGCAACGUCAGAAGCCAGCUGCGGCAGGCUUGUUCCACUCACGGGGCCCUAAGAAACCGCCUCCAGCAGAAUGGUCCGGAUCCACCAAACCGGAGAAGGAAAGGAACAGAACAGCAUCCAGUAUCAGAGCUGGGGCAGCCUCUAUGACCAGAGCCAAGUCUAUGGGCUUCCUCAGUCAGAUAGGGCAAGAUGAGGAGGAAAGGAAGGGGGAUGAAGGGCCCAAGGUCACAGUUCAACUCCGAUCCCAGUCUAGAGCCUCCAGGCCCAGACCUGUGUCGGCCAUCUUCCUGCCCUCUCCCACUCAGGCUGAGUCGCCCACCCCAGCUACUCGCUGGGCAGUGAGACGUCCCCUCUCAGCCGACCUCACCUCCAAGUUUGAGUCCAUUGGCCUGUCGCUGCACCACGGCCGACCUGCCAAGACCGACAGCAAGGAAAACACUCCAGGGGAACCGCUACGGAGGACAGAGAAGAAGAAGGGAGCAGAGGGGACCAAUGUUACACAACCGGCCCCAGACAGCAAGCCCUCAGCCCUUGUAGGAGGGAGAGAGAAGAAAACAGAGGAAGAAGAGGAGGAGGAUGAUGAGGGAAAGGGUGGAGGCAGCAUUAAGAGACGGAUCAGUCUCUUGCUUGAUUCCUCCUCUUCUUCCUCUCCUGUGGUUCCUCUCCGUGUUGCUGCCCAAAGACCAGGGUCUAACGCUCCAGUACAGCCCAUCCAAGAGGCAGAUGUAACAUUGGAUGGUGUUAAACAGCGAACCAGGAAGCUUACUGAAGAUACUGUUUCACCACCAGCCCAGACCCCUGCUGUUAAACCACAGUUCAAGUCCCACCCUCUGCCCCCUGACCUGACCAAAAGGCUUGGCUCUGAGAGGUCCACAGAUCUCGGCAGUCCCUCCCCCAAUGAGGCGACAGACCGCCAUGAGAGUGACACUGAUCCUCAAAGGAGGGUGGAGGACUCCGUUUACACCUUCAGUGACCAAAAAAAGGUGGAUGACGACAUCAGAGGCAUACAAGAGCAGCCCACCCAGACCACCUCUGACCCUUCAGCAGUACUGACUGAAGCAGGGCGAUGGAUGGAGAGCUGCCCCAGCAGUGGGGCACAGACGGUGCGAGCAGCCCUGUUUGAGAAUGUGGUGGAGAGACACAGCGUGCUGGUGAUGGAGGAGGAUAGGGCACAGAGUGCCACAAAGGGCUGUCCCAAGAGAAGUGUGUCCCUCAAACUUGGGGAUGGGGAGAACGACGGCAGCCUGGUCACCGCCACCUACCGCAAGCCUGUGUCUCCCUCCAGUCCACUUCUUGUAGAGCACUUGUUUGACACUGUGCAGGCGGUGGGAGAGAGGAGAGCCGUUAGUGAGAGUGUCCCUUUGGCUCAGCUCGAGGACAAAGCCAUGACCCUCCGUUCCAGGCGUUCUGAGGGGAAUCGGUCAGCCAGGGCUGAGCCAGUGGAGGAGAGGCAUGCUCAGGUCCAAGGAGUCCUCAGUUUGGCUCAAAGGAGAGCACCAGCCUCCCAACAGGAACAGGGACCACACUACCUGAGGGUUGGAGUUCUGCAGAAGUGGAAUACCACUGAGAUGGGUAGGGAGGCAGAGGUAGAGAAAGGAAGACAAAGGGAAAAGGAGAGGGAGAGAAAGGAGGAUGAGAAAGAGAGGCAGAGGGAAGCGGAGAGGAGGAUGCAAAUGGAUGUAGACAGGGAGAAGCCGAGAGAACAGGAGAGGGAGAGAGAGGAAGUGGCAGCACCGAAGCGGUUGAAAAUGCUGGAGGCAGAUGAGCAGCCACCCAAGCCCAGGGCCACCUACUUUGCUCUGACUGGUCAGAUCCAGGAAGCUGUAUCCAUUGGGGACGAGGAAACAGAGAGAGGGAACGUGGAAGUUCCCUUUGACAAUUUCUCUAUGAAGUCUGGACAAUGGGGCUCUCAAGGGAAGGUCUUACAAGUACGAAGGAACCCCUCUCUAGAUGAAGCUUUUGGAAAAAGCUCCCAAGGUCAACAACAAGAAGAACUGAUGGAGCGGAAUCAAACACAGGAAAGGGAGAGAGGAACGGCAUGGGACAGACAGACAUGGAGGGAGGAGCUGGGAAUAGAAAAACAAAAACAAGUAGACCUUGAGAAAGUAAAAGAGUUGGAGAGGGAGAAAGAAUGGCAGAGGGAGAGCAAGGAGUUUGAGAGGGAGAAACGGACACAGCUGGACAUGGAGAGACAGAAACCGUUAGAAUAUGCAAGAAAGAGAGAGAAGGAAAAGCUAAAAGAAUUAGAAAGAGAGAGACACAAUGAGUUGGAGAACGAGAGACUGAGUGAGAGACAAAGAGAGCUGGAAAGACAGCGAUGGCACGAGCUGCAGAGGGAGAGCCAGAUCGAGUUGGAGAGACAGAAAGAGUUUGAAAAGGAGAGGCAGAGACAGUUAGACUUAGAGAGACAGAAAGAGUUUGAAAAGGAGAGGCAGAGACAGUUAGACUUAGAGAGACAGAAAGAGUUUGAAAAGGAGAGGCAGAGACAGUUAGACUUAGAGAGACAGAAGAAGUUGGAGAGAAUUAAGGAGAUGGAGAGAAAGCAAAUGUUUGAGUUUGAAAAACAGAAGCAGAAUGAGAGAGAGAGGCAACAGCUUCUGGAGCUUGAAACGCAGAGACUUAGAGAGAAAAUGGAGAGAGAGGAGCAGGAGAAGAUGAGACAGCAAGCCAUACAACAGGAGGAAGACAGACAGAGAGAGUUGGAAAGGGAAAGAGUGCAAGAGUUGGAGAGAGAGAGGCAACGCGAUCUGGAAAGACAAAAACAGAGAGAGUUGGAGAGAGAGGGGCAACGCGAUCUGGAAAGACAAAAACAGAGAGAGUUGGAGAGAGAGAGGCAACGCGAUCUGGAAAGACAAAAACAGAGAGAGUUGGAGAGAGAGAGGCAACGCGAUCUGGAAAGACAAAAACAGAGUGAGUUGGAGAGGCAGAGACAGAAACAGUUGGACUUUGAGAGACAGGAAUUGGAAAACCAGAGGGAUAGAAAAAGGGAGUUAGAGACAGAGAGACAGAGGGUAGAAGAACAGGAGAGAAUAAAGGAGAUGGAGAGAAGACAACUGUUUGAGNNNNNNNNNNNNNNNNNNNNNNNNNNNNNNNNNNNNNNNNNNNNNNNNNNNNNNNNNNNNNNNNNNNNNNNNNNNNNNNNNNNNNNNNNNNNNNNNNNNNNNNNNNNNNNNNNNNNNNNNNNNNNUAGAGAGACAGAAGAAGUUGGAGAGAAUUAA
rnacentral:lncRNA from 13 species